rnacentral:hammerhead_ribozyme from 1 species
AGCCGAAACGGGAGGGGGGUCUCCCCUCCCGUCGUCCGGGGAUGGCCUCCCGGACCUGACGAGGCAGGCCGAG